GAUGAAGAACGUAGCAAAAUGCGAUAAGUAAUGUGAAUUGCAGAAUUCAGUGAAUCAUCGAAUCUUUGAACGCACAUUGCGCCCGCCAGUAUUCUGGCGGGCAUGCCUGUUCGAGCGUCAUUUCAACCCUCAAGCACAGCUUGGUGUUGGGACUCGCGUUAAUUCGCGUUCCCCAAAUUGAUUGGCGGUCACGUCGAGCUUCCAUAGCGUAGUAGUAAAACCCUCGUUACUGGUAAUCGUCGCGGCCACGCCGUUAAACCCCAACUUCUGAAUGUUGACCUCGGAUCAGGUAGGAAUACCCGCUGAACUUAAGCAUAUCAAUACGGAGGA
rnacentral:misc_RNA from 1 species